UACGAGUGCCCUAAGCGUUAUCCGGAAUCAUUGGGCGUAAAGGGUGUGUAGGUGGUUGUGUUAGUCUUCUGUUAAAUUCUUCGGCUUAACCGGGGGCAUGCAGAGGAAACGGCACAACUAGAGGAUGCGAGAGGUACAGGGAACUCAUGGAGUAGGGGUGAAAUCCGUUGAUAUCAUGGGGAACACCGAAAGCGAAGGCACUGUACUGGCGCACUCCUGACACUGAAACACGAAAGCGUAGGUAGCGAAUGGG
rnacentral:rRNA from 1 species